CCCCCAUAAGGUAGCGGGGCAACUGCUCCCGCAGCUGGAUGCGGCCUCGCAGCGCUGCCUGGCAGAAGGUGCCGUCCAGCAGGAUCUGGUCCAAGUGGAAAAUGGCGCCUGGGCCGUGUCCACACUUUAUGGGGUGCUGGCUGAGUCCCGCCCACAGCUGGAGCGGCCUCUAUCCAAUGGCACCCACACCGGGAGGACUCAGCUCACAUUUGUAAGGCCAUCACCUACUUUGUGGAGCUCCCAGGGGUGGGAGUGAGCAUGCUGAAUGUCUUCUUGAAGUCACACCAUCGAGAGCACAAGAGACCUGAGUUCCUCACCUACCCCCAUCUCCACAUCACAUCCAAGCCCUCUCCUUAGGGAGAUGGUAACCAUACUGUUUCACAGCCUUCAUGUAAAUCUGCUUCCAACUGACUAUUAAUUUGAAUAAAGAGAUCCUGGACCUCUACCCAGUCUCUGGGGACCACAGCAUCGGUUUAGACCAUUACUCUGCACAUGGACCAGAAAAGGUGUACAGGGUCCUUAAGAACACCUUCAUGUAUCAAAUGAUUAUUAGUAUACUGAUCUUCCAUCCCUUUGCUUAUGGCAGGAAAUAGCUUAAAUAAAUAACUGUAAAAAA